CUCAGCCUCGGGAGGCAGCAGUAGGGAAUCUUCCACAAUGGACGAAAGUCUGAUGGAGCAACGCCGCGUGAGUGAAGAAGGGUUUCGGCUCGUAAAGCUCUGUUGGUAGUGAAGAAAGAUAGAGGUAGUAACUGGCCUUUAUUUGACGGUAAUUACUUAGAAAGUCACGGCUAACUACGUGCCAGCAGCCGCGGUAAUACGUAGGUGGCAAGCGUUGUCCGGAUUUAUUUGGCGUAAA
rnacentral:rRNA from 1 species